AGAGUUUGAUCCUGGCUCAGGAUGAACGCUAGCUACAGGCUUAACACAUGCAAGUCGAGGGGCAGCAUUAGAUUAGCUUGCUAAUUAGAUGGCGACCGGCGCACGGGUGAGUAACGCGUAUCCAACCUUCCCCCUGCUCAGGGAUAGCCCGGUGAAAACCGGAUUAAGACCUGAUAGUUUCACUAGAUGGCAUCUGACGGUGAAUAAAGGUUUCGGCAAGGGAUGGGGAUGCGUCUGAUUAGCUUGUUGGCGGGUAACGGCCACCAAGGCGACGAUCAGUAGGGGCUCUGAGAGGAAGGUCCCCCACAUUGGAACUGAGACACGGUCCAAACUCCUACGGGAGGCAGCAGUGAGGAAUAUUGGUCAAUGGGCGGAAGCCUGAACCAGCCAAGUAGCGUGCAAGGAUGACGGCCCUAUGGGUUGUAAACUGCUUUUGUGCGGGAAUAAAGUCAGGGACGCGUCCCUGUUUGCAUGUACCGCAAGAAUAAGGACCGGCUAAUUCCGUGCCAGCCGCUGC
rnacentral:rRNA from 1 species